UGCCAUAAUAAAACUUUAAUCUGAAUGGACAAAAACGUUUCCACACGGCUAAUAUUUCUGCUUACGUUUUGUCUUUUAAAGAUUGUGACACAGGAAAAUAAAUAUUACAGGUACACAGUAAAUCUUAAAAAUAAAUUUUAUUUGACUGCACUACUAAUAUUUCAUUUAAUGAUACACACUGAACAGUCCCAACCAUCUGCAUACUUGAGUAAGUAUUACCACUUUUUCUUAAUAUAAGUAGCAGAAAUUACUUCUCGACAGAGCCUUGAACCAUCAAGGACACCAUCACUUAUCCAUCUUUGGCCUUUGUGCGUCAAGUUAUUAUCUCUCUGUCUUUUCCAUUCAAUCUGGUUUCAUCUUCAUAAUUUUUGGACCGGAUAGGCUCUUUACUCAAACUGCUCGUUUUGUAAGGAAAUGGUUCAGAAAGUCUGAGGCAAGACCUGAAUACAAAGUGGAAGUGAUUUUAUCAUGAGUAAUGGACAACGGUCUGGUUUCUGCACUUUUGGACAUUUUAAGAAGUGACACAAGUUUAGCUUUGAGCACAAGGGCCAGAAUUCAACAUUUUCUCUUUUUUUCUCUCUAACUCAACAGAAUGGGAUGAUCUAUACAGGAUAUGCUCCAGCACCAAUGGCUUUUCCUAUGACGACACCCCAAGUGCCUGUGUAUGGAAUGCUCCCUCCUCAGAUGAGUCAUCAAAUGGGGGGUGUUCCCAUGAUUCCCCCACAGCCUGUCAUGUACAACCAGCCUGUCCUGAGACCCACCAAUCCCUUUGGACCCAUCCCGGGUACACAGAUGCAUUUCAUGUAGAGAUGAUGUUGUAACCAUAGCAGCAAAGCUGAAAGAGAAGAGGCAAGAGAAAGAUGGAAAAGAAAGAGCUGAUGGCAAACACAAGUACAGAACCAAAUCCAGUGCAGGAGGAAGAAAGAACGGCGAGGGGAUUGGAGGACCGGAGCGGAGGAUUAAUAGAAGAUGAAAUGCUGAUGUCAAUUUAUUGUCACUUCACCCUCUAUUCUCCAUGUGGCUACUGAUUUGUCUGUCUUUAACCCAGUACAACCAUGGAGCAUCGGAGCCUCCUCAUCAGUUCAGCCCAGCUUAUCUUUGUUUGGCCUCUUCUAAUGGCAAUCACAGCCUAUGCUGACAUAGCAGAGACUGACAGCUAUACGGAGGUUCUUCACCUUCUCCUGAGCCGCCCCUCCUGUUAAUAACCAGUAUG